UACAGAGGGUGCGAGCGUUAAUCGGAAUUACUGGGCGUAAAGCGCACGUAGGCGGAUUGCUAAGUCAGGGGUGAAAUCCUGGAGCUCAACUCCAGAACUGCCUUUGAUACUGGCGAUCUUGAGUCCGGGAGAGGUGAGUGGAACUGCGAGUGUAGAGGUGAAAUUCGUAGAUAUUCGCAAGAACACCAGUGGCGAAGGCGGCUCACUGGCCCGGUACUGACGCUGAGGUGCGAAAGCGUGGGGAGCAAACGGG
rnacentral:rRNA from 1 species